GACGAACGCUGGCGGCGUGCCUAAUACAUGCAAGUUGUGCGGUAACAGAGAGAGCUUGCUCUCUGCUGACGAGCGGCGGACGGCAGAGUAACGCGUAGGAACAUACCCCAAACUGAGGGAUAACUGCUCGAAAGAGUAGCUAAUACCGCAUGUGGUCUUCGGACUAAAGCUUCGGCGGUUUGGGAGUGGCCUGCGUCUGAUUAGCUAGUUGGUGAGGUAAUUGCUCACCAAGGCGACGAUCGGUAGCUGGUCUGAGAGGAUGAUCAGCCUGACUGGAACUGAGAACGGUCCAGACUCCUACGGGAGGCAGCAGUAGGGAAUUUUCCACAAUGGGCGAAAGCCUGAUGGAGCAACGCCGCGUGCAGGAUGAAUGCCUUCGGGUUGUAAACUGCUUUUCUGUGUGAAGAAUAUGACGGUAACACAGGAAUAAGGGUCGGCUAACUACGUGCCAGCAGCCGCGGUAA
rnacentral:rRNA from 1 species